AGAGUUCGAUCAUGGCUCAGGAUGAACGCUGGCGGCGUGCUUAACACAUGCAAGUCGAACGAACCUUCGGGUUAGUGGCGGACGGGUGAGUAACGCGUGAGAAUCUGCCCUCAGGAGGGGGAUAACGGUUGGAAACGACCGCUAAUACCCCAUAUGCCUAUGGGUGAAAUGAAUUUCGCCUGAGGAUGAGCUCGCGUCUGAUUAGCUAGUUGGUGAGGUAAUGGCUCACCAAGGCUUCGAUCAGUAGCUGGUCUGAGAGGAUGAUCAGCCACACUGGGACUGAGACACGGCCCAGACUCCUACGGGAGGCAGCAGUGGGGAAUUUUCCGCAAUGGGCGAAAGCCUGACGGAGCAACGCCGCGUGAGGGACGAAGGCCUCUGGGCUGUAAACCUCUUUUCUCAAGGAAGAAGAUAUGACGGUACUUGAGGAAUAAGCCACGGCUAAUUCCGUGCCAGCCGCCGCGGUAAUAC
rnacentral:rRNA from 1 species